rnacentral:rRNA from 1 species
CCUACGGGGGACAGCAGUGGGGAAUAUUGGGCAAUGGGCGCAAGCCUGACCCAGCAACGCCGCGUGAAGGAAGAAGGCUUUCGGGGUGUAAACUUCUUUUGUCAGGGAAGAGUAUAAGACGGUACCUGACGAAUAAGCCACGGCUAACUACGUGCCAGCAGCCGCGGUAAUACGUAGGUGGCAAGCGUUAUCCAGAUUGACUGGGUGUAAAGGCCGUGUAGCCGGGUUGAAAAGGCAGAUGUGAAAUCCUGGGGCUUAACCGCAGAACUGCAUUUGAAACUGUUGAUCUUGAGUACUGGAGAGGCAGGCAGAAUUCGUGGUGUAGCGGUGAAACGCGUAGAUAUUAGGAGGAACACCGGUGGCGAAGGCGGUCUGCUGGACAGCGACUGACGGUGAGGCGCGAAAGCGUGGGGAGCAAACAGGAUUAGAUACCCGUGUAGUC